UAGGGAAUUUUCGUCAAUGGGCGCAAGCCUGAACGAGACAAUGCCGCGUGAACGAGGAAGGUCUUCGGAUCGUAAAGUUCUGUUGAAGGGGGAAAAAGAGCGGAGAGAGGAAAUGAACUCCGAUUGAUAUUACCCUUCGAGGAAGUCACGGCUAACUACGUGCC
rnacentral:rRNA from 1 species